rnacentral:sRNA from 1 species
AUUCUGCCCAUGCGGGGAAGGAUGAGAAGCUUCGACUAAGGUUCGACUCGAGCGCCAGCGAGAGAGCGUUGCUGCAGGCAACGACCCGUAGGGCGAAGCGCGCAGCGCUGAGUAAUCCUUCCCCCACCACCA